GAUGAACGCUGGCGGCGUGCCUAACACAUGCAAGUCGAACGGAAAGGCACAAGCUUGCUUGGGUACUCGAGUGGCGAACGGGUGAGGAACACGUGGGCGAUCGGCCCUGCACUUUGGGAGAAGCCUGGGAAACGGGGUCUAAUACCGGACAGGAUCACACCUUGGAUGGUGUGGUGGAAAGCUUUUCGGGGUGGGAUGAGCUCGCGGCCUAUCGGCUUGUUGGUGGGGUAAUGGGCUACCAAGGCGUCGACGGGUAGCCGGCCUGUGAGAGUGUACGGCGACACUGAGACUGAGAUGCGGCAGAGGCUGCGACUGUAGGAAGCAGUGCGGAAGAUUGCACCAUCGGCGCCGGCCUGAUGCAGCAGCGCCGCGUGUGGGAUGACGGCUUUCGGGUUGUAGACUACUUUCGCUAGAGACGACGCGUGAUGUGACGGUACCUGAAGAAGAAGCACCGGCUAACUUCGUG
rnacentral:rRNA from 1 species